UACGUAGGGCGCAAGCGUUGUCCGGAAUUAUUGGGCGUAAAGAGCUCGUAGGCGGCUUGUCACGUCGGAUGUGAAAGCCCGAGGCUCAACCUCGGGCCUGCAGUGGGUACGGGCAGACUAGAGUGCGGUAGGGGAGAUUGGAAUUCCUGGUGUAGCGGUGGAAUGCGCAGAUAUCAGGAGGAACACCGAUGGCGAAGGCAGAUCUCUGGGCCGUAACUGACGCUGAGGAGCGAAAGCAUGGGGAGCGAACAGG
rnacentral:rRNA from 1 species